rnacentral:rRNA from 1 species
AGUAAUGUAUGGGGAUCUGCCCGAUAGAGGGGGAUAACUACUGGAAACGGUGGCUAAUACCGCAUAAUGUCUACGGACCAAAGCAGGGGCUCUUCGGACCUUGCACUAUCGGAUGAACCCAUAUGGGAUUAGCUAGUAGGUGGGGUAAAGGCUCACCUAGGCGACGACUCCUAGCUGGUCUGAGAGGAUGAUCAGCCACACUGGGACUGAGACACGGCCCAG